rnacentral:rRNA from 1 species
AGAGUUUGAUCCUGGGUCAGGAUGAACGCUGGCGGCGUGCCUAACACAUGCAAGUCGAACGAGGCCCUCGCCUUCGGGUGAGGUGUCCUAGUGGCGAACGGGUGAGUAACACGUUGGUGACCUGCCCCAAAGCGGGGGACAACCUUGGGAAACCGGGGCUAAUACCCCAUGUGAUCCAGAGCGUUAGAGGGCUCUGGAUGAAAGGAGCAAUCCACUUUGGGAGGGGCCUGCGGCCUAUCCCCUAGUUGGUGAGGUAACGGCUCACCAAGGCGACGACGGGUAGGGGGCCUGAUAGGGUGGCCCCCCACACUGGAACUGAAACACUGACCAGACACCUACGGGUGGCAGCAGUGGGGAAUAUUGCACAACGGGCGAAAGCCUGAUGCACCAACGCCGCGUGCUCGAUGAAUGCCUUCGGGUUGUAAAGCGCUUUUCUGGGGGUAGAGUAUGGACGGUACCCCACGAAUAAGUCUCUGCUAACUACGUGCCAGCAGUCGCUGUAAAACGUAGGAUGCAAGCAUUAUCCUGAUUUACUGGUCUUAAAGCGCGUGCAUGCGCUUUGGAAAGUCGGACAUCAAGCUCCCGGCUCACUUGGGAGAGGCCGUUCUCAACUACCUCACUAGAGGGCAUCAGAGGGAGGUGGAAUUCCGGGUGUCUCGGUGAAAUGCGUAAAUAUCCUGAGGAACACCAGUGUCGAAAGCCGUCUCCUGGACUGUCCCUGACGCUAACACUCUACAGGUCGGGACUCUACAGGGAUCAUUACCCCCGUAGUCCUUCCCCGCAACGAUGCAACUCGGGGAUCGUAGGUGUUAAACCCUUCUUGCACUUCUAACGCGUUUAUUUGCCGCCUGAGGACUACGGUCGCAAGGCUAAAACUCAAAGGAAUUGACGGGGGCCCGCACAAGCAGCGGAGCGUGUGGUUUAAUUCGAGGCUACGCGAAGAACCUUACCUGGGCUUGACAUGUUCGUAGUAGGGAUCCGAAAGGUGACCGACCCUUCGGGGAGCGAUCACAGGUGCUGCAUGGCUGUCGUCAGCUCGUGCCGUGAGGUGUCCGGUUAAGUCCGGUAACGAGCGCAACCCUUGCCCUGUGUUAUACGUGUCACAGGGGACUGCCCGUAUAAAGCGGGAGGAAGGUGGGGAUGACGUCAAGUCCGCAUGGCCUUUAUGUCCAGGGCUACACACACGCUACAAUGGCCGGUACAAUGGGUCGCGAAGCCGCGAGGCGGAGCCAAUCCUCCAAAGCCGGUCUCAGUUCGGAUCGUAGGCUGCAACCCGCCUACGUGAAGUUGGAGUUGCUAGUAACCGCAGGACAGCUAUACUGCGGUGAAUACGUUCCCGGGCCUUGUACACACCGCCCGUCACGUCAUGGAAGCUGGCAACACCUGAAGUCGGUUACCCAACCGCAAGGAGGGAACCGCCUAAGGUGGGGCUGGUAACUGG